GUCCCUGUUGCGUAAUGAAUAGCGCGUUGGAUUUCUAAUCCAAAGGUCGCGGGCUCGAAUCCCACCUGGGAUA